rnacentral:rRNA from 1 species
GACGUAGGGGGCCAGCGUUGUUCGGAAUUACUGGGUGUAAAGGGUUCGUAGGCGGUGUAGCAAGUCGGGAGUGAAAUCUCUGGGCUUAACCCAGAGGCUGCUUCCGAAACUGCUGUGCUUGAGUGUGGGAGAGGCGCGUGGAAUUGCAGGUGUAGCGGUGAAAUGCGUAGAUAUCUGCAGGAACACCCGUGGCGAAAGCGGCGCGCUGGACCACUACUGACGCUGAGACGCGAAAGCGUGGGGAGCAAACAGG